AUUGAACGCUGGCGGCAUGCUUUACACAUGCAAGUCGAACGGCAGCGCGGGCUUCGGCCUGGCGGCGAGUGGCGGACGGGUGAGUAAUGCAUCGGAACGUGCCCAGUAGUGGGGGAUAGCGCGGCGAAAGGCGGGUUAAUACCGCAUACGACCUGAGGGUGAAAGCGGGGGACCGAAAGGCCUCACGCUAUCGGAGGGGCCGAGGUCGGAUUAGCUAGUUGGUGGGGUAAAGGCCUACCAAGGCGACGAUCCGUAGCUGGUCUGAGAGGACGACCAGCCACACUGGAACUGAGACACGGCCCAGACUCCUACGGGAGGCAGCAGUGGGGAAUUUUGGACAAUGGGGGCAAGCCUGAUCCAGCCAUGCCGCGUGCGUGAAGAAGGCCUUCGGGUUGUAAACCGCUUUUGUUCGGGAAGAAAUCCUCUGGGCUAAUACCCCGGGGUGUUGACGGUACCGGAAGAAUAAGCACCGGCUAACUACGUG
rnacentral:rRNA from 1 species